UACGUAGGGGGCAAGCGUUGUCCGGAUUUAUUGGGCGUAAAGAGCUCGUAGGCGGCUCAGUAAGUCGGGUGUGAAAGCCCCCGAGCUCAACUCGGGGAGGCCACCCGAUACUGCUGUGGCUAGAGUCCGGUAGGGGAGCGUGGAAUUCCCGGUGUGAGCGGUGAAAUGCGCAGAUAUCGGGAGGAACACCAGCGGCGAAGGCGGCGCUCUGGGCCGGAACUGACGCUGAGGAGCGAAAGCGUGGGGAGCGAACAGG
rnacentral:rRNA from 1 species